rnacentral:lncRNA from 1 species
GGGGAUUGAUGGGGACGACUGACGUGUAUGGACCUGUCGUGGUACACAAUGUCAUGGGAUUAGGUUCACCUUGCAAGGUUAAGAAACUCGAUUCGAAUCAUCUACCUUUCACAGUUUGAGACUGCUUGACUACCGUGCUGCACUGAGUAACAACAGGAAUAGAGAAUGAUUAUCUAAUGAUGAUGCUUUGAAUAAAUUGCUUGCUCAACUUGCUUGCUUAGAACAGGUUGCUUACCUAGACUGGUUAAUCUACUAGAACCUGAUGCUAAAAUUU